rnacentral:rRNA from 1 species
UGGGGAAUAUUGCACAAUGGGCGAAAGCCUGAUGCAGCAACGCCGCGUGAGUGAUGAAGGUCUUCGGAUUGUAAAGCUCUGUCUUUUGGGACGAUAAUGACGGUACCAAAGGAGGAAGCCACGGCUAACUACGUGCCAGCAGCCGCGGUAAUACGUAGGUGGCGAGCGUUGUCCGGAUUUACUGGGCGUAAAGGGUGCGUAGGCGGAUGUUUAAGUGAGAUGUGAAAUACCCGGGCUUAACUUGGGUGCUGCAUUUCAAACUGGAUAUCUAGAGUGCAGGAGAGGAGAAUGGAAUUCCUAGUGUAGCGGUGAAAUGCGUAGAGAUUAGGAAGAACACCAGUGGCGAAGGCGAUUCUCUGGACUGUAACUGACGCUGAGGCACGAAAGCGUGGGUAGCAAACAGGAUUAGAUACCCUGGUAGUCCACGCCGUAAACGAUGAGUACUAGGUGUAGGAGGUAUCGACCCCUUCUGUGCCGCAGUAAAACACAUUAAGUACUCCGCCUGGGAAGUACGAUCGCAAGAUUAAAACUCUAAAGUGAAUUGAC